rnacentral:tRNA from 1 species
GCUCGCUGCCACAGCGCACAGGGGGGACUACCUUCUAAGCAGCGGGUCGCAGGUUCGAAUCCUGCCGGAACGCCA